GAUGAACGCUGGCGGCGUGCCUAAUACAUGCAAGUCGAGCGAACAGAUGAGGAGCUUGCUCCUCUGACGUUAGCGGCGGACGGGUGAGUAACACGUGGAUAACCUACCUAUAAGACUGGGAUAACUUCGGGAAACCGGAGCUAAUACCGGAUAAUAUAUUGAACCGCAUGGUUCAAUAGUGAAAGACGGUUUUGCUGUCACUUAUAGAUGGAUCCGCGCCGCAUUAGCUAGUUGGUAAGGUAACGGCUUACCAAGGCAACGAUGCGUAGCCGACCUGAGAGGGUGAACGGCCACACUGGAGCUGAGACACGGUCCAGACUCCUACGGGAGGCAGCAGUAGGGAAUCUUCCGCAAUGGGCGAAAGCCUGACGGAGCAACGCCGCGUGAGUGAUGAAGGUCUUCGGAUCGUAAAACUCUGUUAUUAGGGAAGAACAAAUGUGUAAGUAACUAUGCACGUCUUGACGGUACCUAAUCAGAAAGCCACGGCUAACUACGUG
rnacentral:rRNA from 1 species